ensembl:lncRNA
CCCCAGCAAGUUCGAGGGCAGCCAGGAUAUUUUGCUGUUUGCCUCGAGAGAGCUCACUGGCCAGCUCUCUCUUUUGGCUUCUUCUGUGAAUUUGUCUGUGGAACAGGAAGAGCUCCAUAUCUCCCUUCUGGCUGAGAUGUCACAUUUACAACAGCAAUGCCUACCUGGAAUGUUCGGACCACAUUGGCCAAAAGGGCUUGGUUUUGCAGAUGACAUCCUGAAAGUACCUACACUGUCCUUUCAGUUACCCAAGGCUACU